rnacentral:rRNA from 1 species
UACGUAGGGGGCGAGCGUUGUCCGGAAUUAUUGGGCGUAAAGAGCUCGUAGGUGGUUUGUCGCGUUGUUCGUGAAAACUCACAACUCAAUUGUGGGCGUGCGGGCGAUACGGGCAGACUGGAGUACUGCAGGGGAGACUGGAAUUCCUGGUGUAGCGGUGGAAUGCGCAGAUAUCAGGAGGAACACCGGUGGCGAAGGCGGGUCUCUGGGCAGUAACUGACGCUGAGGAGCGAAAGCGUGGGGAGCGAACAGG